rnacentral:rRNA from 1 species
UGGGGAAUAUUGGACAAUGGGCGCAAGCCUGAUCCAGCAAUGCCGCGUGUGUGAAGAAGGCCUUCGGGUUGUAAAGAACUUUUAUCAGGAGCGAAAUACUACCGAUUAAUACUCGGUGGGGCUGACGGUAACUGAGGAAUAAGCACCGGCUAACUACGUGCCAGCAGCCGCGGUAAUACGUAGGGUGCGAGCGUUAAUCGGAAUUACUGGGCGUAAAGCGUGCGCAGGCGGUUAUGCAAGACAGGUGUGAAAUCACCGGGCUCAACCUGGGAACUGCACUUGUGACUGCAUGACUAGAGUGCGUCAGAGGGAGGUGGAAUUCCGCGUGUAGCAGUGAAAUGCGUAGAGAUGCGGAGGAACACCGAUGGCGAAGGCAGCCUCCUGGGAUGACACUGACGCUCAUGCACGAAAGCGUGGGGAGCAAACA